CCAGCAGCCGCGGUAAUUCCAGCUCCAAUAGCGUAUAUUAAAGUUGUUGCAGUUAAAACGCUCGUAGUCUGAUGUAAUGGGGACUGGUGUGGGGAGCAGCGAUGCUCUGUGCAGCGGUCCUCAUCAGGGGGCCAGCAAUGGCCCAGUUUACUUUGAGGAAAUUAGAGUGUUCAAAGCAGGCGAUUGCUUGAAUACUGCAGCAUGGAAUAAUGGAAUAGGACUCGCGUCUUAUUUUGUUGGUUUGGAGAUGUGAGUAAUGAUGAAUAGGGACAGUUGGGGGCAUUGGUAUUCAGUAGUCAGAGGUGAAAUUCUUGGAUUUACGAAAGAUAAACUUCUGCGAAAGCAUUCGGCAAGGAUGUUUUCAUUGAUCAAGAACGAAAAU
rnacentral:rRNA from 1 species